rnacentral:rRNA from 1 species
AAAUUGAAGAGUUUGAUCAUGGCUCAGAUUGAACGCUGGCGGCAGGCCUAACACAUGCAAGUCGAGCGGUAGCACAGAGAGCUUGCUCUCGGGUGACGAGCGGCGGACGGGUGAGUAAUGUCUGGGAAACUGCCUGAUGGAGGGGGAUAACUACUGGAAACGGUAGCUAAUACCGCAUAAUGUCGCAAGACCAAAGUGGGGGACCUUCGGGCCUCAUGCCAUCAGAUGUGCCCAGAUGGGAUUAGCUAGUAGGUGGGGUAACGGCUCACCUAGGCGACGAUCCCUAGCUGGUCUGAGAGGAUGACCAGCCACACUGGAACUGAGACACGGUCCAGACUCCUACGGGAGGCAGCAGUGGGGAAUAUUGCACAAUGGGCGCAAGCCUGAUGCAGCCAUGCCGCGUGUGUGAAGAAGGCCUUCGGGUUGUAAAGCACUUUCAGCGGGGAGGAAGGCGAUAAGGUUAAUAACCUUGUCGAUUGACGUUACCCGCAGAAGAAGCACCGGCUAACUCCGUGCCAGCAGCCGCGGUAAUACGGAGGGUGCAAGCGUUAAUCGGAAUUACUGGGCGUAAAGCGCACGCAGGCGGUCUGUCAAGUCGGAUGUGAAAUCCCCGGGCUCAACCUGGGAACUGCAUUCGAAACUGGCAGGCUAGAGUCUUGUAGAGGGGGGUAGAAUUCCAGGUGUAGCGGUGAAAUGCGUAGAGAUCUGGAGGAAUACCGGUGGCGAAGGCGGCCCCCUGGACAAAGACUGACGCUCAGGUGCGAAAGCGUGGGGAGCAAACAGGAUUAGAUACCCUGGUAGUCCACGCCGUAAACGAUGUCGAUUUGGAGGUUGUGCCCUUGAGGCGUGGCUUCCGGAGCUAACGCGUUAAAUCGACCGCCUGGGGAGUACGGCCGCAAGGUUAAAACUCAAAUGAAUUGACGGGGGCCCGCACAAGCGGUGGAGCAUGUGGUUUAAUUCGAUGCAACGCGAAGAACCUUACCUGGUCUUGACAUCCACAGAACUUAGCAGAGAUGCUUUGGUGCCUUCGGGAACUGUGAGACAGGUGCUGCAUGGCUGUCGUCAGCUCGUGUUGUGAAAUGUUGGGUUAAGUCCCGCAACGAGCGCAACCCUUAUCCUUUGUUGCCAGCGGUCCGGCCGGGAACUCAAAGGAGACUGCCAGUGAUAAACUGGAGGAAGGUGGGGAUGACGUCAAGUCAUCAUGGCCCUUACGACCAGGGCUACACACGUGCUACAAUGGCGCAUACAAAGAGAAGCGACCUCGCGAGAGCAAGCGGACCUCAUAAAGUGCGUCGUAGUCCGGAUUGGAGUCUGCAACUCGACUCCAUGAAGUCGGAAUCGCUAGUAAUCGUAGAUCAGAAUGCUACGGUGAAUACGUUCCCGGGCCUUGUACACACCGCCCGUCACACCAUGGGAGUGGGUUGCAAAAGAAGUAGGUAGCUUAACCUUCGGGAGGGCGCUUACCACUUUGUGAUUCAUGACUGGGGUGAAGUCGUAACAAGGUAACCGUAGGGGAACCUGCGGUUGGAUCACCUCCUUACCUUAAAGAA